rnacentral:lncRNA from 1 species
UAUAGAAAUUAUUUUGAUAAUCGAUAUUGAUAUCUAUAUUUUCUAAAGAAAUUUUUCUCCAGUAUAAAUGUUAUUUCAAUAUAUUUCGUCAGUUAAAUUACAUUUUGUUUUAAACUCUUGUUCACUUUGACCGAGGUAUAUUAGAUAUCACUGACAAAAGUUACAGUAAACUAUAUAUAUAUAUAUUUAUAUAUCUUUUUGUUCGUAAAUACAAUAAAAUAUAUAUAACGACAUUUAUUAUGAAAUAUAUAAAGUAACUCAUGAAAUGGUUAAAUUAAAAAUCCUAGCAAAAGGUGAAUUUUUCUGGUGACAUUUUCGUCGGCCUGUUGCUUCGGCGGUCUUCGUCCUUCCGAUGGUGGUACCAGUAGAUAGUUUUUGUUGCUUUCUUUUAUUUGUUUUCUUUGCUGGUUCAUCGGUUGGAAUGAGGGGUUGAAGAUGGAUCUGAAAUUCUAGAUUUGGUUUUUUGAAUCUAGAUCUGUUUUUUUUUUGAGUCUCAUGUGGUAUUUGGUAAAGGGGUCUGUAUUUCUCUGUUGGUCGAGCAGUUCCUCUGCAUUCAUCAUCGUCUGCUAUUUUGCUAUUGUUGUCUGGUUCUAUUGAUCAGAGGGUCAUGUGGUUUAUAGUGUUUAGUUUGCAGAUUUGCCAAUGAUAUCCGGAGUUAAAGCAUCGUCGUUUACCUGGUUUCGAGAGAUGGUUUAGUUAAGUUCUAUUUAUUUUUAGUUUUUUUUUCAGUCUUAUUUUUUUGUGAAAAUUCCUCAGACUAACCUUUAAGGUUAAUGAAAUGACAAACCUAACCUAACAUAUUGAAGGGCUUACUAGACUAACCUUAUAAAGUUGGUUUAAGUCCAUUUUAUCCAGAUGUUGAAUAUUAUUACGAAAAUGUCAUUAUGAUUUUUUUUAUAUAAAUUUUUUUUUUUCAAAAAAACUUUAAUUUCGAAAAAAACUUUUUAAAAAAUCAAAAUUUUUUUUGACGAAAAAAAACAUUUUUUUAAAACGAAAAAAGCAAAAAAAAAAAACACAAAACCAAAAACUAAAAAAAAAAAACCCUAAUUCAUCUUCUUCUCUCCCUCUUUCUCCUGCGCCAAUUUUUUUUUCUCCCAUGAAGCUGCUCUUCUUCAUAACUUGGCAGCUUCCCUUUUUUCACAGCUUUCUCUUCACAGCUUUCCUUUUGUUUCACAGAUCCACACAGAUUUUGCCUCAAUCGCCAUUCAGAAACUUGUUCAGGUUUGUUUUUUUUCUCAUUUUCUUAUUUUUUCUUCUUUCUUCUUCGUCUUCCUCUUUCCCUUCGUCUUCUACUUUCUGUUUGGCGGAGGAGGAGUUUUACUGUUGGUGUUCGAGAUCUCGGAAAUAUUGGCACGACUCUUAAGCGGUGUUCUCGCUGCAUCGCGCACAACCGCACUGGACAGAUGUUGUUUCGAAGAAAUGGUGGUGUCCCGGAGGUUGACGGCGGUGUAAGUUUUUUUCUGUAAAACCCGCAACCCUAAUUUUUUUUGUUUCAUGUAAGUUUGGUAGAUAUAUUUGGAAAACGAUAAGUAGUUUGGUAGAUUUAUUGUAUUUUUUUGUUGUAAAGUUCAUAAUAUGUGAUGGUAGAUUUUUUUGAAAAACGAUAUGUAGUUUGGUAGAUUAUUAGUUAUUUGAUGGUAGAUAUUUAGAAAACGAAAUAUGGUUUGGUAGAUUUAUUAGUUAUUUGAUGGUAAAAUUAUUUUAGAGUAAAAACGAUGUCAUUUGGUAGAUUUAUUAGUCAUCUAAUGAUAGACUUAUUUGUAAAACGAUGUGGUUUUGUAGAUUUAUUAGUCAUUUAAUGGUAACUUAUUUGAAAAAUGAUUUGUGUUUGGUAGAUUUAUUAGUUGUUUAUGGUAGAUUUAUCAGUCGUAUAUAUUUGAAUUUUAUAUACGAAUGACAGUAUCUGUUUAUUUUUUUCUGACAGAUUAUGAGCUUUGCCAUAGUGAACAAAUCUUUGAUGGGAUAUCCAGCAUCGAUCCGACAUGUUUUACUAUGAAUUGUAGAUUUGCAUUUGGUAGAUUUUUUUUGAAAUAAUGGUAGAUUGAUUAUGAAAUU